GUAAAUAAUAGGGCUUACAGAAAAG
rnacentral:piRNA from 1 species